CGGACUCUGGGAGGACUCAUGCCAAGUACUUCCCAGAACUUCUGCUGCCAGUGUCCUCAUCCCUGCAGUGAGCCACAGCCACCUUCGCCUCUGCAGGAGACCCACCAAAACUAGCAGGACCUAGCCCAGUGCCUGGCACGGAGUGGACACUCAAUCAUCUUUCCAGAAGGAUGACAUGAGAGCAGAGCGCGAGGCAUUAAUCAACAGCAGGCAUCAGCUACCCUGACAGAAGAUCAGCUGUUCCAGCAGCAACAGUUCUAACCUCUGUUGAAGACCAAUAUCAAAAGAGAAACCAUACCUUAGAGAAGCAGUUCUUUUCAUUUAACAAUCCAUCUAUCAAUCCAUCUAUCAUCCAUUCACUGAUAGGAACCAGUCCUUUGUGUGCUUCCUUGCCUCAGGGAUUUUUGCAGGACGGAAGGCAGACGCCCCUGAAAAGUCUGUAGUUCUUCUUGUGUUGUUGCAAAGGCCUAUGGCCACUGAAGAAAUAACAAGUGCUCCAGACUCUAAGGAAGAGGGAUGAGGCUUUGGAGGACAGAGAGUCAGAGAGAGAAGCUCUUCAUCUUAAGGAGGUAGAGGAACAAGACUGCAGGCUCUGCAGAGGAGGUGGCAUCUGGAUGAUGGAGAAGUUUAUGGAUCCUCAUGGAGCAGGGGGAGGAACGUGUAACUCGCAGGUUGUCUUCCUCUGCAGGCUCCUGCUGUUCUGCAGCUGAGAAUCUAUUGUUUGCUACUCCUGCUAUUUCAUUCCUCAGCAUCUUAUCAGGCUCCCAAGAAUGUCCUGGACAAGUCAAGGAACAGGGCGAGCCUUAUUCAUUUCUAGUUUAAGAAAUGACUGAGAUGGUGUCUGAGUUAUAUCUGGUUCUGUUUCUACCACGGGUGAACUGGACAUCGUAGAAAGACACAGCUAGAUGAUCAAGCACAGUAUCUUUUUUUAAAAUUAAUUUUUAUUGGAGUAUGGUUGCUUUACAAUGUUGUGUUAGUUUCUACUGUACAGCAAAAUGAAUCAGCCAUAUAUGUACACAUAUCUCCUCCCCUUUGGACUUCCCAUUCAGGUCACUACAGUACAUUGAGUAGAGUUCUCAUUCGUUAUCUAUUUUAUACACAGUAUCAGUAAUGUAUAUGCAAGCACACUAUCUAAUAGCUAAAACAAUCACAUUUUUAUUCGUAACUAAAAUUUAGAAUCUUAUGGUGGAGAAAAGAUGGCUUUCCCAGGUUCAAGUGCCCAGGAGCCUGACGCCACAUGCCAUCUGCUGGUGUUAAGCUGUAUCGCUCGGCAGUGACUCCAGAGGGAACAAAGGGAACUCUGCUCUCCUUGGGAGGGGGAGGCUCCCACGGGCCCUCUGCUACAGGUUUUAGACCUGAACAAGUCCAGACCACGACCUUGAGAGGAAUGAGGAAAAUAAGGACUAUUUUAUUUUGGCAUGUAUCUCAAAAUUGUCAUCAUUCACAUAAAGUUCAUAACCACAAAGACAUUCCUACUUAUUUUCUCAGGUGUUAUGAAGCUUUGACAUGGGAAGAAAAUAUCACUUCUAGAGGCAUAAAUUAGGCUGAUUCAGAGUGCCCUGAUGUAUACAACAAUCCUCCUCUCAAAGAACAUGGCAUCUUCUUAAGGAACCCUGUCUCAGACCCUGUACCAGCCCAAGUGUACGCAAUCUUGUGUCCUACCCGAUGAUUUUCCCUGGGCUCCAAUCCUUGUUCACUGCCGGGGCGGGGGAGUUCAACAGCUGCCAGAUAGCAGAUAACACAACUCACACCCUUUUCCAUAGAAAAUAUCACUAAAUAGCCUUAAUUAAUGGGUGCCAAUUUUACUUUCUUCCCUCUUCCUUGUAUUAAAUUGCCUUUGUUCAAGGUUAGUUUAUUUGAGCAACAAGGACUUGGCCAUCUCACGGUGUGCAUGGUAUGGAGGCCCCUGGAAUGACCUUGUAUGGUGACAGGUUUACUCUCAGGGUUUACUCCCCACCUUUUAUGAACCAAAACACACACACACACACACACACACACGUUUCCCUCACAGGGCACACAUUCUUUUUUUUUUUUUUUUUUCGGUACGCGGGCCUCUCGCUGUUGUGGGCUCUCCCGUUGCGGAGCACAGGCUCCACGGCCACGGCUCACGGGCCCAGCCGCUCCGCGGCAUGUGGGAUCUUCCCAGACCGGGGCACGAACCUGUGUCCCCUGCAUCGGCAGGCGGACUCUCAACC